AGUGAACGCUGGCGGUAGGCUUAACACAUGCAAGUCGAACGGCAGCACAGUAAGUGCUUGCUCUUCCGGGUGGCGAGUGGCGUACGGGUGAGGAAAACAUCGGACUCUACUUUUUCGUGGGGGUUCACGUAGGGAAACUUACUCUCAUACCGCAUACGCCCUUCGGUUGAAAGCAGUGGAUCUUCGGACCUUGCGCGAUUGAAUGAGCCGAUGUCGGAUUAGCUAGUUGGCGGGGUAAAGGCCCACCAAGUCGACGAUCCGUAGCUGGUCUGAGAGGAGGGUAGCCCGCACGGGAACGUGAACACGCACAAUAGGACUGAGAGAGGGAGCAGUGGGGAAUAGGGGACAAUAGGGGCAAGUCUGAUCCAGCGAUACCACGUGGGUGAAGAAGGCCCUCGGGGUGGAAAGCCCUUUUGUUGGGAAAGAAAAGCAGCAGGUUAAGACCCAGCGGUUGUGACGGUACCCAAAGAAUAAGCACCGGCUAACUUCGUG
rnacentral:rRNA from 1 species